GCAGCGGUGGUUCAGUGGUAGAACUCUCACCUUUCAUGUGGGAGACUUGGGUUUGAUUCCCAGCCGGGGCA
rnacentral:tRNA from 1 species